rnacentral:SRP_RNA from 1 species
CCUAGGCGUGGUGGUGCAUGCCUGUAGUCCCAGCUACUCAAGAGGCUGAGGCAGGAGGAUUGCUUGUGACCAGGUAUUCUGGGCUGUAGGGCACUAUGCCUAUGGGUGUCCACAUUAAGUUCAGCAUCAAUAUGGUGAACUUCUGGGAGCAGGGGACCACAGGUUGCCUAAGAAGGGGUGAACCGGCCCAGGUCAGAAACAGAACAGGUCAAAAUUCCGGUGCUGAUCAGUAGCGGUAUCUUGCCUGUAAAUAGCCACUGCACUCCAGCCUGGACAACAUAGUGAGACCCAUCUCU